UCAGAGAGAGAGAGAGCACGAGAGAGUUACAGAGCGAGACAGAGAAAGAAAGGAAAGGAUAGAAUGAGUGUGAGAGAGAGGAAGGGAAUGUGAACAGAGUAUCUGAAAGAGUGUAAUAGAAGAAUAGAGCAAGAGAGCAACAUUGAGAGAGGAGACUUUAAGUGAGGGCUCAUCAUGGAUUUAGUAUUGAUCAGGGGGUGAAAAAGAGUUGGUGUUAGAAUUAAAUGUAGUCUGCUGUCAGUUGUGGAUGAGAAAAGGAUCCGAGUACAACAGGUGCACUUAUAAAGUUUCUUCAAGACAAGACAACCUGAGCAGAACAAACAACCAGGCCACAGCUGGAAGAUCAAUUGAUCCCUUAUUCCUAUUUGUCAGUUUUGUUGUCAUGGCGAGGCACUGGCGUCUGUCAUCGGAGUGCUUCCCCCCUGUCAGCGGCCAUUUUGGAUCAACAGGCGGACUCAGGACGGAGAGAAAAGAAGAGGAAGAGGAGGAACGCUCACCCAUCUACUCCCUCUCCAAGAGUUCCAUGGACGUAGUCAUGGCAACCAAACACCCGCAUCUGCGAGACCCGGCGUGGGCAAAACUGGAGCUGAGACGGAGCGCCAGCCAAAAUACACAGUCCUCCACAAACACACACACACCAAAACUCACAACCCUACAGCAAUACAUACAACAACCCACACCCUCACACUCACAGACGUCUCAAAACAUACACGGGCACGGAUCUCCCCUUAGUAACGAGCGUGUGGCGCGUUGGAGUAUGUGUAGCGCCAGUGUGUGUAGCAGUGUUAGCACACCAGAGACGGUCAUAUGGAAGGGAGGGAGUAUGACUGAGGAGACCCCGUGCAUCCUGUACUCCGCUCGCUGCUCCAGACUGGCUUCAGAGUCUCAGAGUUCCAUACAAACACCUGCUACACCCUCCCCUUUCACCUCACCCCUAAACACACCCACUCAGAGCCCAACCCUACACACACGCCACAACCUACCCCAACUCCAAUACAGACCGUCACCCCUUACCGCAGACACACCCUGUCAAACGCACACACCCUCACCUAUGUCCUCACCCCUACCUAUAAUGUUACCACUACCCUCACCCCUAUCUGUAACCUCACCUCUACCGUCACCUCUAGCUGUAAUAUCAUGCCUACCCUCACCCCUAUCUAUAACCUCACCUCUACCCUCACCUCCAGCUGUAAUAUCAUGCCUACCCUCACCCCUAUCUGUAACCUCCCCUCUACCCUCACCUCCAGCUGUAAUAUCAUGCCUACCCUCACCCCUGACCCCUAAAGGAUGCCGACCAAAUCCUUACACAGACGAGGCCUGUUCCCCCCACAAGCAUCCCUCUUCCCCCUUUCCCUCUCCUUCCUGUAGAGCUCAGGGUGUGGAAGGUCUGGAGGAGAGGGGCAGCUUUGAGCAGGUCCCACCCCAACCAGGGUGCACCCCUGUGGGGAUGUACUAUGUAGAGAAGCCCCCUAUCCUGAGCCCCAGACCCAGACCUAACAACAACACACCUCCGUUGGGUGUUUGCUUGGGCAUCCCUGUACAGCAGCAAGAAGUGGAGAUGGACCAUCGGGUGUUUUUCCCCAGCCCACCUGCUCACCUGGCAUUGUCAUGGUCACCGAGGCUCACUUGUCCGUCUGGCCGAGGUCAGAUAUCGGCAGGUUUAGUUUCCUCCCUCAGCGACUCACAAUUGGACGGCUGCCCCCGCUGCUCCUGUAACUCCGCCUAUUCAGGGGUCAUGAACUUGAUGACAUCAUUACCCCAGGUGUCAGGGUUCAGGGAGGAGGGGACAAUGACAUCACAGAGGGAGCUGGUGGAGGUCGGGGUGCAGGCGGGGUCACCUCAAGGGUCAAGGUUAAACUUUAGGUCCCUCCAGAGCUCCCUAAAGGAUUAUGGGUCAGACACUAAUCUGGGGUCUCCCCCUCGGUCCAACUCCAUCAUGGGCUACAACACUUAUCUAGGUUCACAGUCCAUCUUGGGGUCCCCUCCAGGGUCAAGGUUGAACCUGAGGUCAGCGCUAGGCUCCCACUCCAACCUGGUGUCGCCCUCUUCCAGUAUGUUCCCUCUGGACAUCCCCAGAGAGGGGUGGGAGGAGAAGUUAGAGUGGGAGGACAGCAUCUCUGCCCCACUGGGGGAGAUGGGGAGGAGGAGAUCCUGUCUGAAGGUGGUGGUACAGGAGGAGGAGAGGAGUAGAAGUGGAGAAUGGGAUCACAGCAAGAGGAGGAGUAGUAUGAAGCAGGUGCAGUGGGAUGAAGACGGGAUGACCUGGGAUGUUUACGGAGCCUCUCUGGACCCCGAGGAACUCAGCUCGGCCAUACAGAAACACCUGCAGCUCAAGACCAGGACAGACAACACAAACACAGAAACCACUCCCAAAACCAAACCGAAGACUAAAAGCAAAUCAAGGGUUAAGGUCAUUUCUAAAACCAAGAACAAAACCCCUCUCAUGGAAACCGCUACCUCGUCAACCCCUGUUAUGACAACCAAGGGCAAGACCGCUUCCAUGGAAACCGCUACCCUGUCAACCCCUGUCACUACCAAAAGAAAGACCACUGCCAUGGCAACUUCCCCAAUGGCAUUAUCGAUUAAUACCGUGGCGACUGCUGCCAUUGAGACUGAGGCUGACACCAAAGGAGAGGGAGAGAGAGAGGGAGAAAAAGAGGGAGAAGGAGAACAGAGACAGAGAGAACCAGAGGGAGAGGUAGAGGUAGAGGAAGAAGGAAAGUUAGAGGGAGAUAGCGAGGGAGGAGUAGAUGGAAAGGGAAAGGGAAGAGGACAGAGGGAGGGAGGACUGAAGGGGGAAGAGACAGAGGAAAAGGGGACACCAGUGCUGUCUCGUAAGUCGUCAUAUCGUGCGAGUGGGCAGAGCAGGAAGAAGAGUGGAGGAGUGAUGAAGUCACUGAAGCGAUGUGUUCGCUCCUCAAACCCCAAUGAAUGACACUGGAAGAACACUGAGAAGGUGGACAUGAUAACAUUAUAAGACUAACCAAUGACUGUAUGGGACUAAUACUGGAGGUUGGCGGGGUGCAGUCUAAAGUGCAAAAGAGGAAUCUGAAUAACACUAACACUGGACUCCCUACUGCUGUGUUGUAGUUUUUGACUACUUGAUAUAAAAUUGAUAUGUUAGUAUUCAAAUAUAUCUGCCAGUAGGUGAAAAAUAUGUUGGGUUGGAAAGGAUACUACUCCAGUUCAGGUUUGCAAUAACAUCUACAGUUGAAGUUGGAAGUUUACAUACACCUUCGCCAAAUACAUUUAAACUCAGUUUUUCAUCAUUCCUGACAUUUAAUCCUAGUAACAAUUCCCUGUCUUAGGUCAGUUAGGAUCACCAUUUUAUUUUAAGAAUGUGAAAUGUCAGAAUAAUAGUAGAGAGAAUGUUUUAUUUCAGAUUUGAUUUCUUUCAUCACAUUCCCAGUGGGUAAGAAGUUGAAAUACACUCAAUUAGUAUUUCGUAGCAUUUCCUUUAAAUUGUUUAACUUGGGUCAAACGUUUCGGGUAGCUUUCCACAAGCUUCCAAAAUAAGUUGGGUGAAUUUUGGCCCAUUCCUCCUGACAGAGCUGGUGUAAUUGAGUCAGGUUUUUGAAGGCCUCCUUGCUCACACACGCUUUUUCAGUUCUGCCCACAAAUAUUCUAUAGGAUUGAGGUCAGGGCUUUGUGAUGGCCACUCCAAUACCUUGACUUUGUUGUCCUGAAGCCAUUUUGCCACAACGUUUGAAGACUGCUUGGGGUCAUUGUCCAUUUUGAAGACCUAUUUGCAACCAAGCUUUAACUUCCUGAAUGAUGUCUUGAGAUUAUGGCCAAACAGUUGCUUUUUUUGUUGAAUCAGACCAGAGGAAAAAGUACGAAAAGUACACUCUUUGUCCCCAUGUGCUGUUGCGACCCGUAGUCUGCCUUUUUUAUGGCAGUUUUGGAGCAGUGGCUUCUUCCUUGCUGAGCCUUUCAGGUUAUGUCGAUAUAGGACUCGUUCUACUGUGGAUAUAGAUACUUUUGUACCCGUUUCCUCCAGCAUCUUCACAAGGGCCUUUGCUGUUGUUCUGGGAUUGAUUUUCACAUUUUGCACCAAAGUAUGUUCAUCUCUAGGAGACAGAAACGCGUCUCCUUCCUGAGCAGUAUGACGGCUGCGUGGUCCCAUGGUGUUUAUACUUGUGUACUAUUGUUUGUACAGAUUAAUGUGGUACCUUCAGGCAUUUGAACAUUGCUCCCAAGGAUGAACCAGACUUGUGGAGGUCUACAAUUUGUUUUCUCAGGUCUUAGCUGAUUUCUUUUGAUUUUCCCAUAAUGUCAAGCAAAGAGGAACUGAGGUUGAAGGUAGGCCUUGAAACACAUCCACAGGUACACCUCCACAUCCAAAUUAGCCUAUCAGAAGCUUCUAAAGCCAUGACAUCAUUUUCUAGAAUUUUCCACUGUUUAAAGGCACAGCCAAUUUAGUGUAUGUAAACUUCUGACCCACUGGAAUUGUGAUACAGUGAAUUAUAAGUGAAAUGACUUGUGUCAUGCACAAAGUAGAUGUCCUAGCCGACUUACCGAAACUAUAGUUUGUUAACAAGAAAUUUGUGGAGUGGUUGAAAAAGCGAGUUUUAAUGACUCCAACCUGAGUGUAUGUUAACUUCCGACUUCAACUGUAGGUCCAGGAUCCCAGAAAAAACAGCCCUUAAUGUCAAUAUGUGUUACUGCCUGCCUGCACUGCUUUACAGUAAGCAUGGAUAUGUGAAUGACUUAUUGUAAAUCAUCUCCAAUAGGAAAAAAAUGUUAUGUAUUAAAAUAUCCUCAAAACAUUCACUGAUGUUACUUUCAUAUGCAUUCUUUGUACUUUGCAGUAUAUACACAUACAUGUAGAUAGGCACUCACUCGCUCACUCACUCACUCUCUCAAAAAAAAAACACACAGACACUCACAUACACACACACAGAUUUGUGUUUGUAAACUUGGUGAACCAUGGUGGUGUGAGUAAGUCUGUAUGCUCAGUUCAUUCAGGCCCUGUGUACUGCUACUGUUCAGAUGAGCAGGCACAUUCCCUGUCAUUCACCGUAGUAAAGGCCUGAAAUCACACCUCACUAGCUGCUUCUACUGUUGUCAUAUCUCACUGUUAGCGAACAAACACGGUAGUUGUAUUUGUUAUGUAGAGAAACAAAGCUCUCUCUCUUGAAUGCCCCCUGUAUGGUGAAAAUGGUACAGUCCUGGGCCUAGGUGCGAGCCAUACUUAUACUGUAUAGGAUCACUUCAUCCAUCCACAGCCCUAGGGAGGUUUGGAUAAGUUAUAGAGGUUAACUGGAGAAGAUUUAGAGUUAGGUAGAUGUUUAGAUAAGUAGAAGUAAGCCUGAUGAUGGAAAUUAUUUACAG
ensembl:lncRNA